rnacentral:rRNA from 1 species
GACGAACGCUGGCGGCGUGCUUAACACAUGCAAGUCGAGCGAAGUAUUCAAGACAGAUUUCUUCGGAUUGAAGUCUUGAAUAUCUUAGCGGCGAACGGGUGAGUAACGCGUGAGAAACCUGCCUUUCACAAAGGGAUAGCCUCGGGAAACUGGGAUUAAUACCUUAUGAUACUUCAAAUUCGCAUGAAAUUGAAGUUAAAGCGUAAAGCGGUAGAAAGAUGGUCUCGCGUCCCAUUAGCUAGUUGUGGGUAACGCUCACCAAGGCCACGAUGCAUAGCCGACCUGAGAGGGUGA